AAUUUUUCCAGCAGCUGCUGCAGGGCUGUCUCCUGCCUACUGCCCAGCAGGGCCUUGACCAGAUCUGGCUGCUCCUUGCCAUCUGCCUCGCCUGCCGCCUCCUGUGGAGGCUUGGUUUAUCACUUUGAAAAGUUUCAAAGUUACUGAAAAGCUAAGUUGAAAGAAUAGGACAAUGAACACCCAUAUAUGCAUCACCUGAUUCUCCAACUGUCAACAUCUUGCCACAUUAGCUUGCUCUAUCUACCUAUCUAUCUACCUACCUAUCCAUCCGUCCAUCUGCCUAUCUAUCUAUCUAUCAUCUUCCUGAAUCACUUGAAUAACAUGCUGACACUUCAUCCCAAAUCCUCUUGCGUGUGUCCCCCAAGAACAAAGACAUCUUCCCCCCACAGCCAGAGCCUCAACCAUCACCCCUCAGGAAAUUUAAUCUUGAUGCCAUAAUAUUAUUCAAUAUAAGUUAUUCAAAUUUCCUCCAGGAUUCCCAAAGUGACCUUUAUAGAUGUCUCUUUUCUUUAAACCCAAGCCCUGCCACCUCCCCAGCUCCCCAACACCUGCUUUGGGCCCCCUGCAAUCCCACCAUGUUCCAACCUCUAAGCCUUUGCCUGAGCUACGUCCUCUGCCUAGGCUGCCCUUCUACCAGCCCUGCUCUAAUUCCCUUUCUUGUCCUCUCUUUCUCUCACCCAAAGGGUUGCCAUCCUACCUGAAGCAUGCAAGCACCGUGGCAGGCGGGUUCUUCAGCCUCUACCACUUCUUCCAGCUGCACAUGGUUUGGGUCGUACUGCUCAGCCUCCUGUGCUACCUCGUGCUGUUCCUCUGCCGACAUUCCUCCCAUCGCGGCGUCUUCCUCUCCGUCACCAUCCUCAUCUACCUACUCAUGGGUGAGAUGCACAUGGUGGACACCGUGACAUGGCACAAGAUGAGAGGGGCCCAGAUGAUUGUGGCCAUGAAGGCGGUGUCUCUGGGCUUCGACCUGGACCGGGGUGAGGUGGGUGCAGUGCCCUCGCCCGUGGAGUUCAUGGGCUACCUCUACUUCGUGGGCACCAUCGUCUUUGGGCCCUGGAUAUCCUUCCACAGCUACCUACAGGCCGUCCAAGGCCGCCCGCUGAGCCGCCGAUGGCUGCAGAAGGUGGCCCGGAGUCUGGCGCUGGCCCUGCUGUGCCUUGUGCUGUCCACCUGUGUGGGCCCCUACCUCUUCCCGUACUUCAUCCCCCUUGAUGGUGACCGCCUCCUUCGCAACAAGAAACGCAAAGCCAGGGGCACCAUGGUAAGGUGGCUGCGAGCCUAUGAGAGUGCUGUCUCCUUCCACUUCAGCAACUAUUUUGUGGGCUUUCUGUCCGAGGCCACGGCCACGUUGGCAGGGGCUGGCUUCACCGAGGAGAAGGAUCACCUGGAAUGGGACCUGACGGUCUCUAAGCCACUGAACGUGGAGCUGCCCCGGUCCAUGGUGGAAGUUGUCACAAGCUGGAACCUGCCCAUGUCUUAUUGGCUAAAUAACUAUGUUUUCAAGAAUGCUCUCCGCCUGGGGACCUUCUCAGCUGUGCUGGUCACCUAUGCAGCCAGCGCCCUCCUGCACGGCUUCAGCUUCCACCUGGCUGCGGUGCUGCUGUCCCUGGCGUUUAUCACUUAUGUGGAGCACGUCCUCCGAAAGCGCCUGGCUCGGAUCCUCAGUGCCUGCAUCUUGUCGAAACGGUGCCCAGCAGAAUGUUCACACCAGCAUCGCUUGGGCCUGGGGGUGCGAGCCUUAAACCUGCUCUUUGGGGCCCUGGCCAUCUUCCACCUGGCCUACCUGGGCUCCCUGUUCGAUGUUGAUGUGGACGACACCACAGAGGAGCAGGAAAUUCCCUGGCUGUCCAGUGGUUAGGACUUGGCGCUUUCACUGCGGGGGCCAGGGUUCAAUCCCUAGUCGGGGAACUAAGAUCCCUCAAGCCACGAGGCAUGACCAAAAAAAAAAAAAAAAAAAGUUAAUGCAUAUCACGUGGUUGAAAAACCAAACAGUAUUCAAGAUAUUCAGGGGAGAGUCUUAUUCCUGCCGUCUUACCCCCACCCUCUUACAGGUAACACACGAAUGACACUGUGCUGCAUGUUGCUUUUUUCACAUAAUUCCUGAAAACCUUCCACAUGAAGACAUAGAGUGUCCUCGUUCAUUUUUUCCAUUGUGACACAAUGUAGUUUGUCCCUUAUUGGUGGACACCCAGGUGAUUCCCACUCUUUUCCUAUGGGCUACGGCAUGGCAUACACUGUCCACAAAUGGUCAGAGCUCAGCUGGGCCAGUCACUGGGUCACUUUUGGAUGCUGGAUCUUCUACCGUCUCAUAGGCUGAGGCACAUCUGUGGACCCUCACAACUCUCUCAAGACCCCUCCUCAGGGUGCCAGCUCUGAUGGGGGAUGAGGGAAGGCCCUCUCUCUAAUUCUUGACCCUCUCUCCAUCCUUGACCCCCCAACACCCAUACACACACACACACACACACACAAAACCAUUUCCAUGCCUGUCAAUCCCCACCCCACCACAAGGCGGGAAGGGAGUGGUCCCUGCUGGGGCCUAGGGGCGGGGGAUGCUUGGGGAAGCAGAGAGGGGGAGAUCCAGGGCCUCCCCGCCUUCCUUGACCCUUUUUAUAUACAGUUUGUUAUUAUCAAAUAAAAGUAGGAAGUAUACAAAAGGCUCGCUCUUCACUGCUCAGUGGGGAAUAGAAGUGAGUGAGGAAGGGGGCACAGCAUGGAUAAAGGUUUGGAAGCUAGAAACCGUGAAGAGGGAGGUUGUGAUUGGUUCAUGGUUUAUUAUCAUUCAUGAUUGGAUGAUGAGCCUGAGGAUAGCACUGCUUGAUUUGAGUGGGGCCAGGACAGAUUGGAUACUUGGAUGUAGGGGAGGCCUGAUACUAAUUGGCUAGAAAAACUGAGGGAUCCCCAUUCGGUUUGGUUGCCCUGACUGGGACAGAGGAGGGAAAGACUGAUGAAGAGUUGAUGCUUAUUGGUCCUUAGGACUGAGGGCUGUGGGUUCUAAUUGGAUAGGAGGCCUGGGUUGGAUCUGGAUACUGACUUAGUCUGGGCGCCCACUGGGUUAGAGUUAUGGAGUCCUGAUUGGUUCUUUAGAGUUGGCAGGGGGAGAUUGAGGGUCUCCAUGCCAAUUGGCCAACAAGGCUGAAGGGCCUGGGUUUUGAUUGGUUCUUCUGACUUGAAGUCAGGAGAGGUGAAGAUGGCCUGAGGGAGAGGCAGAGGCAGCGUGUAGUAUUGAUCUGUCUGUUGUAUUAACAGUUUCCUUGCCCAUUCG